CCAAUAGCGUAUAUUAAAGUUGUUGCAGUUAAAAAGCUCGUAGUUGAAUUUCGGGAUCAGUUGGUCGGUCGUGCUUAGGUACGUACUGGUCAAAUUGAUUCCUACCUUCUGACGAACCACGAUGUCAUUAAUUUGGUGUCGUGGGAAAUCAGGACUGUUACUUUGAAAAAAUUAGAGUGUUUAAAGCAGGCUCGCGCUUGAAUACAUUAGCAUGGAAUAA
rnacentral:rRNA from 1 species